rnacentral:rRNA from 1 species
GAUGAACGCUGGCGGCGUGCUUAACACAUGCAAGUCGAACGGAAAGGCUCCUGCUUGCAGGGGUACUCGAUUGGCGAACGGGUGAGUAACACGUGGGUGAUCUGCCCUGCACUUCGGGAUAAGCCUGGGAAACUGGGUCUAAUACCGGAUAGGACGAUGGUUUGGAUGCCAUUGUGGAAAGUUUUUCGGUGUGGGAUGAGCUCGCGGCCUAUCAGCUUGUUGGUGGGGUAAUGGCCUACCAAGGCGUCGACGGGUAGCCGGCCUGAGAGGGUGUACGGCCACAUUGGGACUGAGAUACGGCCCAGACUCCUACGGGAGGCAGCAGUGGGGAAUAUUGCACAAUGGGCGCAAGCCUGAUGCAGCGACGCCGCGUGGGGGAUGACGGCCUUCGGGUUGUAAACUCCUUUCGCUAGGGACGAAGCGCAAGUGACGGUACCUGGAGAAGAAGCACCGGCUAACUACGUG